rnacentral:rRNA from 1 species
UGCAGUCGAACGCUGAAGCACCAGCUUGCUGGUGUGGAUGAGUGGCGAACGGGUGAGUAAUACGUGAGUAACCUGCCCUUGACUCUGGGAUAAGCCCGGGAAACUGGGUCUAAUACUGGAUGCUACAUGUCACCGCAUGGUGGCGUGUGGAAAGGGUUUACUGGUCUUGGAUGGGCUCACGGCCUAUCAGCUUGUUGGUGAGGUAAUGGCUCACCAAGGCGACGACGGGUAGCCGGCCUGAGAGGGUGACCGGCCACACUGGGACUGAGACACGGCCCAGACUCCUACGGGAGGCAGCAGUGGGGAAUAUUGCACAAUGGGCGAAAGCCUGAUGCAGCGACGCCGCGUGAGGGAUGACGGCCUUCGGGUUGUAAACCUCUUUCAGCAGGGAAGAAGCCACAAGUGACGGUACCUGCAGAAGAAGCGCCGGCUAACUACGUGCCAGCAGCCGCGGUAAUACGUAGGGCGCAAGCGUUGUCCGGAAUUAUUGGGCGUAAAGAGCUCGUAGGCGGUUUGUCGCGUCUGCUGUGAAAGCCCGGGGCUUAACCCCGGGUGUGCAGUGGGUACGGGCAGACUAGAGUGCAGUAGGGGAGACUGGAAUUCCUGGUGUAGCGGUGGAAUGCGCAGAUAUCAGGAGGAACACCGAUGGCGAAGGCAGGUCUCUGGGCUGUUACUGACGCUGAGGAGCGAAAGCAUGGGGAGCGAACAGGAUUAGAUACCCUGGUAGUCCAUGCCGUAAACGUUGGGCACUAGGUGUGGGGGACAUUCCACGUUUUCCGCGCCGUAGCUAACGCAUUAAGUGCCCCGCCUGGGGAGUACGGCCGCAAGGCUAAAACUCAAAGGAAUUGACGGGGGCCCGCACAAGCGGCGGA